GAGAAGUUCACAUGUUUGUCGAUUUAUUCCUUCAAGAGCUGGAGGCCAUUGGAAGUGAAGUUAAACAGAUUUUACCACAAGGGACUCGUAAGCAUCGUCGGACUGACAGCAAUGGAAGCACGACCUCAUCACGUAGUAAUCCAGUCCGAGAGGAGAAGUUGAAUAGGUCAAAUACACAAAGGGCUCGGAGCCAGCUGUUGGAAACCCAUCUAGC
rnacentral:misc_RNA from 1 species